AUGAGUCUUCUCUGCUGGAACUGUCGCGGGGAUGGCAAACCUGCGGCGGUUCGAGAGCUUCGUGAACUAACGAAGCAAUAUGCCCCCUCUGUACUUUGCAUAAUUGAGACUCAAAUAGAGGGUACUAGAGUAGAGAAUAUGGUUGGUUCUUUAGGUUUUAAUAAGAGCUUCGCUGUUAGUAGCUCGGGGAGAAGUGGUGGUCUCGGAGUUUUUUGGAACGAAGAAAUAAAGCUUGAGAUUGUUGGUUAUUCGCAGUAUCAUAUUGAUGCAAUCAUUGAUAACCUUGUAGAUGUGAAAACAAGGGUAACUUUUGUCUAUGGGGAAGCUCAGGUCAAUGAAAGAUACAAAACGUGGGACAUGCUUAGAGGAAUUGUAGGUGUUGGGGAACGUAGUAAUUUCAAAAAAAUUCCUACGCACACGCAAGAUCAUGGUGAUGCAUAG
rnacentral:rRNA from 1 species